rnacentral:misc_RNA from 1 species
UAAGAAGCAUAGAAAGAAGGAAAGGUCUAGGGAUAAGAAAAAGAACAGAAAGGAGAAAAGAAACAAACGCUAACAUACAAAUGGCAACUACGUGGCCAAUUUGAACGUGAUGCUGAAAUUGCAAUAAAUGAGGUCCAUGAGGAUGUGCAACAAUAGAAUUGCCCAAAGUUUCUUAUUCAAAAUUGUACUGAAACUUAGGAAGAAAUGAAUAUUUGCAAGGCUUUUUGUAUUGAUCCACUGUCAAGUUACUGCCCAUUUUAUGCUUAUUGCCCAACAGAAUCAGGUUGUGAUCAAUUUUCAUGUUUUUGAUAUUAUUAUAAGAUGCUCAUCCCUCCCUUUCUCUUGGUUCUAACCACAAAUAAUUAAGAGUCCUUGUUCCCUCUGUUAAGAUUUAUGUGUUGCCCUAUCUAUAAGAGAGGAGUGACUACCUAACCAAUCUUUCAUGUGUUCUUGAUGAAAAUCUAUCCAAUGAAGAGUGACCAUCUUUAAACAGUAUGUUUGGAUCGAAGGAACUGGAGAAAAAACAAUAG